rnacentral:rRNA from 1 species
GAUGAACGCUGGCGGCGUGCCUAAUACAUGCGAGUCGAGCGAACAGACGAGGAGCUUGCUCCUCUGACGUUAGCGGCGGACGGGUGAGUAACACGUGGAUAACCUACCUAUAAGACUGGGAUAACUUCGGGAAACCGGAGCUAAUACCGGAUAACAUGUUGAACCGCAUGGUUCAACAGUGAAAGACGGUCUUGCUGUCACUUAUAGAUGGAUCCGCGCCGCAUUAGCUAGUUGGUAAGGUAACGGCUUACCAAGGCAACAAUGCGUAGCCGACCUGAGAGGGUGAUCGGCCACACUGGAACUGAGACACGGUCCAGACUCCUACGGGAGGCAGCAGUAGGGAAUCUUCCGCAAUGGGCGAAAGCCUGACGGAGCAACGCCGCGUGAGUGAAGAAGGUCUUCGGAUCGUAAAACUCUGUUAUUAGGGAAGAACAAAUGUGUAAGUAACUAUGCACGUCUUGACGGUACCUAAUCAGAAAGCCACGGCUAACUACGUG